UAAGCAUAUCAAUAAGCGGAGGAAAAGAAACCAACAGGGAUUGCCCUAGUAACGGCGAGUGAAGCGGCAAAAGCUCAGAUUUGAAAUCUCUUUUUUUCAAAAAGCGAAUUGUAAUCUGUAGAAGGUUGAAUGGCUGCAUUUAUUGAUUUAAAUUCCUUGGAACAGGAUAUCAUAGAGGGUGAGAAUCCCGUGAUUUUCAAUUAAAUAAAGUCAAUUAAUUCACCUUUCGACGAGUCGAGUUGUUUGGGAAUGCAGCUCUAAAUGGGUGGUAAAUUUCAUCUAAAGCUAAAUACCUGCCAGAGACCGAUAGCGAACAAGUAGAGUGAUCGAAAGAUGAAAAGCACUUUGAAAAGAGAGUUAAAAAGUACGUGAAAUUGUUGAAAGGGAAGCGCUUGCGAUUAGACUUGAUAAUUAAAUUCAAUUAACUUACGAGUUCAAUUUAUUUUUUGAUUAUCAGGCCAGCAUCAGUUUGUUGGGAUUUAUAAAAUUAAAUGGAAUGUAGUAAUUGUUUCGGCAAUUAUGUUAUAGCCAUUUAAAUAAUUAAAUUCACUACAGACUGAGGUCUGCUCUUCGGAAAGGAUGCUGGCAUAAUGAUUGUAAGCGACCCGUCUUGAA
rnacentral:rRNA from 1 species